rnacentral:tRNA from 1 species
GGACCCGUAGCUCAGCUGGAUAGAGCGCUGCCCUCCGAAGGCAGAGGCCGUACGUUCGAAUCGUAUCGGGUCCGCCA